CCCCAAUUUUCGCUGCCAGCAAUCCGCCGAACAGUUGCGUCGUGAUGUAACCGUAAAAGAAGGAACUCAGUAUCAACCCCUGGAGUUUCGAGUCCCAGUCGAAUUCUUGCUCCUGAAAAAUAAAACGGAAGAACACACGUCUGAACUACAGU